CCCUCCGGGCGGUUCAAGUUUCUGCGCCCGGAGGACGCGGCCUUGGCCAAUCCCUGGGCUACAGGGCGCUUUUAAAAUGCAGGUACGGCUGCGGGGAGGGGGACGGUGGGAAAGGUAGGGCAGGGCUUUCCUUAAAGGAGACGCGCGGAAAUGGACGCCGAGCCCCCUCCCAGGCCUGCGUCCCCCGCGCACCCUCCUCCGCCCCAAAUAAACGAAUACCCGGGAGCCGAAGGACAGCGCCGCUUCUCCCUCCCGCGGACACCCGAGCCCGGCGUAGUGAGAGACACGACGAACAAUGGGACUCUGACUCGGGGGUCGCUGUCCCCGGAGGCAGGGCGGCUCUUUGUCCCCUUCCUUGUCCCCGACUCCUCCGCCCCCAUCUCCACUCCCGUCCCUUGCCUGAGCACGCGGAAGGGCUGCGUUUCCACUCCAGCCCAGCGCUGUGGCUCCUGCGGCUGCGCCCGGGAGGGCCAGGGCCUCGCCAGACGUGUCUCCGAGCACGGUCUGUACCCUCUCCCCUGUCCCAGGGGGGCGAGGGCACAGGGAACUUGCCCCCAGGCCGGAGCCGCGUACAGAGCACUGCUCCCCCGCCCACCCGACCGCUAGUCCCCGGGCUUCGAGGGAGAGUCAGGGAUUCGGAGGAGGAGAUCCCUGGAGGGGAUGGAGGAAGGUCUCUCCACCGGGGCCUUAACGGCAGGGCCGGGGGUCGCCGACCCACCAGCAGAAACCCCGUCCCACCGGCAGCCUCGCCGGGCACCCGGGGUGUUGCCCCCCCAGCCUGGGAGUCUGUCUCAUUAUCCUCGAGUCCCCCGAAGCGUGUUUACAGCGCGCCUGCUGCUGGCUGGUCCGAGGGGGGCGUCCCUCCCCGGAGACCCGCAAUAAGAUAAAACCCCCGCGCCCUCGACUGGGAGCCACCACGGCCUGGAGCGCGCGCCCGCGCAGCAGCUGAUGGCCCCAUUUCCAGUUGCUCAACCAUUCGCUGGCCAACUGCGCACCCAGCACCUUCUCUACACCGGCCCUGUUCCAAACCCCCGGGAGAUUCCACAGGGCAGGACAGCAGAGGUCACUACCCUCUGGGGGGGACGUUGCAGUCUCCUGGGAGGAGGAGAGGGCGAUGAUAAACGCUAGAUAAGCAGGAGGCGGCUCCUAAGUGCCGGCGCAGGGGAUUAAGACAAGCUGCUGUCACAGAAAGUGAUAAUCAGUUACUUUAGAUCCUGUGGUCAAGGAGGACCACUCAGGAGGUGCAUCUAAGCUGAGACCUGAGCAGAAAGGACAAAGAUGAGGGGGGAAGGGCCCUCCAGGUGAAGGGAGGAGAGUGCAGAGGCCCUAGGGUUGGCCUGUUAGUCGCCCUUACAAAGAAGGCAGGUGGGGCUGGGAAUGGGCCGGGAAGGGCUGAGAGAUGAGACACUGCAUGAGUCUAAGGCAGCUGGGAAAGCAGUAGGGGGUUAGCGCCGAGCAACCUGACCUGAUUUGCCUUUUAAGAGGCUCACUCUGGCCAGCUAGUGAAGGAAUGGGGAGGUGCACAGAGAGGUCACUAUUCAGUACCUCAUUCCCCACCCAUGCGCCCCUCUUUCCAGGUGGUUGUUCAGGAGGGUGUGGUAGGGAGGGGACGAGUGGGAGGAGCAGAGCUCUGAGGGUGAAGCCCCAGAAGUGUUCAGGGUUCCCAUGACUUGGCCCAGGUGAGCCCCAGUUCUCCAUAGGCCCAGCCCAGCCCGGAUGAAUCGGGGUUUGGAGAGGGCUUCAGCUCACAUCUGGGAGGCUGCAAGCCUGUCUUAGCCCAGGAAGCCAGAUCAAACAGAUCCUGAAGGCUGUGCACAGAGCUGCUUCUGGGAUCGGUGAGAAGAGCAUGUGUGGACUCACUAGGGAAGUGGUGGAGAUGGGUAACCCUGAGCUGAACUUGGGAGGGCCAAGCUAAGACAGAGUCCUAAGCAAGAGGGACUGGUCAAGCCAGGUCCCCUCCCUAAGGCCCAGUGUCCCUCACGGUCCAGCAAAAGGUGCCAAGUUCCCUAGAACAUUCUCAGUCCAACAGACCUUGUACUCCAAGCCAUGAACUCAGAAAGGUCCUAUGUCUUGGUGUCUAGCUUCCCGGUCAUGAGAAGCUCAGCUUUGUCAUGAAAACAGUAAAACCGAAUCAUGGCUCUCUAGCACAGGAAUUCUCUCGAUGCCCCAUAUAAAUAGUUGGGGGUCUUUUAAAUAAUAGAGAUAUACCCCUGACUCUCCUAUUUUAUUUUCCUUCAAAAUCUCCCAGUGCGUGUCCAUUUAAAAGCACAUAAUUAUUCUGGAGAGCCGGUAUACGGACACAUAAUAGACAAACUAUUUCAAAACACAGGGUCCGUGCCCCUGGGAACUGCUAGUAAGACCACACUACGGCGGUAAGCAGCCUGUCUCCCCACUGGGAAGGGAGCACAGAGCCCAGAGCAGAGGCCAUCUGAUGUUUGCAGGGGGAGUGCACAACCCUUGGGCACGUGACCGAUUCAAUCCGAGCGCCUCAUUUUGAAGUUGAGGCAACUGGGCCACAGAAGGGAAAUGACUUGCUCAAGGUCACUUCCCCUCAUUGGCUUACUGAACACGCAAACAUAGCAUGAUCCGGUAGUAUGUCUCCAUGAAAGUAUAUGCACGCAUCGACAUAUGCUUCGGCAUAUAUGGAAAAUGCUCUUGGCUGCGUUGCGGUGAGUACCCCAGAGAGACGGGUAGGACAUACAAUCAAGGCAGCAUUCUGAAGCACCGGGCUGGGCUUCCUGGAGGCGGUGACAUCUGAGUUGAAACUUUUUUGUUUUUAAGUAAUCUCUCCUCCCAACAGGAGGCUCAAACUCAAUGACCCUGAGACCAAGAGUCCAAUGCUCUCCUGACUGAGGCAGCCGGGUGCCCCCUGAGUGGAAUCUUGAACACUGAGUAGGAGUUUGUGAGAUUUUGGAGGGGGGUGGAGAGCACUGGGAUAGUCCAAAUGGAGAAAAAUACACAAGCCCAGACCCCAAAGGACAUUUGUUUCCCGUGUUUCGCUAUAAACACCAACGCCGCCGUAGACAUUCUGGUACAGUCCGACGUAUGUGAGCUCGAACUUGGACCCUAGACCUAGGCCCAGAGUGGCUGGGUCGUACGGCACACGGCUUCUGUCCAACUGGCUGAGGCCAAACAUCUUCACAGCCCGCCCAGCAGGGUCUUGAAUGUUGUCACUCUGGUGGACGAACCUUCAUGUGCUUUCCACACCCACUCCGCCUCCCUCGGGCUGUUAGGGCACAUGAGAAGUCCAGUUCAAUUUCACACUCCACGUGCCCACUAUAUUAGGAAACAAAACAAAACAAACCAAAAA